rnacentral:rRNA from 1 species
UACGUAGGGGGCAAGCGUUGCUCGGAAUGACUGGGCGUAAAGGGCGCGUAGGCGGCUCAUACAGUCAGAUGUGAAAUUCCUGGGCUUAACCUGGGGGCUGCAUUUGAUACGUGUGGGCUUGAGUGGGGAAGAGGGUCGUGGAAUUCCCAGUGUAGAGGUGAAAUUCGUAGAUAUUGGGAAGAACACCGGUGGCGAAGGCGGCGACCUGGUCCUUGACUGACGCUGAGGCGCGAAAGCGUGGGGAGCAAACGGG